rnacentral:misc_RNA from 1 species
GGCCGAUAGACCAUUAGAGGCAAAGGCCACAGUCAUAGUCAUGUGCACGUUGUCUAUGCGGCCCAAACAAACCAUUAACAAUGUUCGGGUGACACUGGCUGCUUCUGCUCGAAAAAUGGUUUCUUUCCUCCCAUGGCUUCAAAGGCGCCUCUUUAGCGCCGAAGUCUCCAGAACCCACCAAAAUUAUCAUAAUUGGACCGUAAAGCAAGUCACCAAGUCGAAUUUCAGCGACUGUCUGGAGGGAAUCAAGUCUCACAUCUCAAGUUCUGAUUUCAUAGCCGUUUCUUUGCAGAAGACAGGCUCUUUCUCCGCUCCAUGGCACCGUGUCUCCCCUUUCGACACCCCCGACACCGCUUACUUGAAAGCAAAGCACGCCGCUGAACGCUUUCAGGUUCUUCAGUUCGCUGUUUGCCCCUUCACUAUCACUGCGUCUCGAGUCACUGCCUAUCCAUAUAAUUUUCAUCUAUUCCCUAGGGAUGAAUUGAAAAUAGGGAUGCCUUCUUACAGUUUUUCUUGUCAAACGUCAUAUCUGAGUUCUAUGGCUCGAGAAGGCUUUGAUUUUAAUGCUUGUAUAUAUGAUGGCAUAUCAUAUUUGUCCAGAGCACAAGAAUCAGCAGCAAAAGUUCAGAUGGGGAAUGCAAUAUCUGCUAAUGCUAUGGUAGAAUCUACUUCUACUCCUUCUGUUGCUGAUACGGUUUUCAUUCAAAGGACUAGAUCACGUGUUAAGAAUUGGAAAAAUGCAUUUACAGAUUCAAGUACAAAUGAGCCUCUGUUGAGAUCCCUGAGAAAACUCGUAUUAAGAAGUGAAGAGUAUAAUUCAAGACCAUGCAUGAAUAUAGAUGUUUGCAGCGAACGACAAAUGCAACUUGUAAUUGAGAUGUUGCAAGAAUUCACUGAUGAUCUUGUUCCUCUAAUAAUUCCAGCAAAGGGUGGAGGAACCCAAUCAGUCCGUGUUGUCUUAACAAGUUCAAAAGAAGACAAGGAACUUCUUCAGGUAGUAAGUCAAUCUCAAUUCUUGGUUAUGAGCCCUGGUCGGUCUUCAUCUAAAUUACAUAAUUGAUGCUUUGAUUGACAGAUGGAGCUUCAAAACGAUGAAGAAAAACAAAACAAGAAAAUUCGUGGCUUUCGAGAGGUGAUCGAUCUGAUUUCUGCUUCACAGAAGCCUGUUGUCUCCCACAAUUCCCUUAAUGGUGUAUCUCUUUAUAAUGGGGUUCUGGAUCAUUUGUAAUGAAGUACCUUUGUCUUAUAGUUUCUUUUAAUGGUUAAACUCAUACUAUAUUGUUGCUUGCAGAUUUUACAUUUGUUCAUUCAAAAUUUCUAGCUCCUCUACCUACCAAAAUGGAGGAGUUCAUGUGUUCCUUGUGCUUAGCUUUUCCUCAGGUAAUCGAUGUCAAUCAUCUGAUGAAGGAAAUUAGCCCUAUGAGAAAAGUGACAAAUUUACCUAUGGCUAUUUCUUACUUGAAGAAUCGGUUCUUUGCACCAGUUGAUGUGGAAAUUCCAUUCCAAGGUCAGUUGCUCUCACCAGUUUCUAGUAGUCAUAGAUCUAUGCAUAUGGAUUAGUCUUGUCAUGAAAUUCAUGGCUUCAAAAUCUAUCUAUGAAUGGCUUAGUUAUAGCUAUUACUUGCUUGUCCAGUUUCCAAAUGAUUAUAGAGUAGGCAAAAUAACUUGCCUUUAGGUAAAUUUCUUGGCACACCAGUUGAUCAUAUCUAAUGAGUUGUUUGCCAUUCAUGGCACGUGGUGUUCUACAUGAGGAUGAACCUGAUUGCUGUGCAUAUGCUUUGGAUCUUUUCAGCUUUGGUAAAUGAAGGCAAGAUUCAUGGGCAUAAUGUUGUUAGGAUUUGUCAAUUGUUUGCAAAGCUGUGCUAUAUACUCAAACUUGCUCCAAAUUCUAUCCAAUCCAAUGACAAAAAUCUAGCUUCAGCACUUGAAGCUUAUUCAAACAUUUUCAAUCCGUAUUCCCCUAGCCCCCAAGAACCAAUUGAUGGGGACAUCAGAAUUUGGACUAACAACACAAUAAAAGUAAGCUGUGAGGAUUUGGUUUUCUUGUGGGGCUUUAGGGAUAUGACGGCUGGGAUGCUGAAGAGCAUGCUUCAAGUGUCUCAUAAAGUUUUCUCCGAGGAAUUUGAUGUUAGAUUAGUGGACAAAAGUUGUGCCAUUGUGGUAUUCAGACGACCUGGUUUAUCUAAAACUUUUCUGGAUGUCCUGAAUGGUGGUUCAGAGAUUGUUGGACCUUUAAGGGAGAUGGUCUCAGAAGGUGUAAGAGCUGCGAGUUAUGAAACUUACAACAGAGCUUGCAGGUUGGGUAUAUGGGAUGCAAAUUUAGCAGAUGCCCUAGACAAAGCCUUGGCAGAUCUUGAUUACCCUUCAGGAGCUGAUUCUAAAACAAAGUCAUUAGACACUUACUGGUGCAGUGAAUGGGUGAUCAACUUGGAUGAGCUGUGAGGUUUUGCAUUCUAAUUCUUGAAUGAGAAAACUGUGUUGCUUUGAAUUGCAAAUUGACAUACAUGUAGAAUUGUACAUUAUUUGAUGCUAGAAAUUAAAAAGCUACGAUGCCAUGCGUGAUGCUGC